UACGUAGGGUGCAAGCGUUAAUCGGAAUUACUGGGCGUAAAGCGUGCGCAGGCGGUUUUGUAAGUUUGUCGUGAAAUCCCCCGGGCUCAACCUGGGAAUGGCGAUGAAGACUGCAAGGCUAGAAUCUGGCAGAGGGGGGGUAGAAUUCCACGUGUAGCAGUGAAAUGCGUAGAGAUGUGGAGGAACACCGAUGGCGAAGGCAGCCCCCCUGGGUCAAGA
rnacentral:rRNA from 1 species